rnacentral:rRNA from 1 species
GAUGAACGCUGGCGGCGUGCCUAAUACAUGCAAGUCGGGCGAACGGACGAGAAGCUUGCUUCUCUGAUGUUAGCGGCGGAGGGGUGAGUAACACGUGGAUAACCUACCUAUAAGACUGGGAUAACUUCGGGACACCGGAGCUAAUAGCGGAUAAUAUUUUGAUCCGCAUGGUUCAUAAGUGAAAGACGGUGUUGCUGUAACUUAUAGCUGGAUCCGCGCUGCAUUAGCUAGUUGGUAAGGUAACGGAUUACCAAGGCAACGAUGCCUAGCCGACCUGAGAGGGGGAUCGGCCACACGGGAACUGGACCACGGACCAGGCUCCUGCGGGAGGCAGCAGUAGGGAAUCUGCCGCAGUGGGCGAAAGCCUGACGGAGCAACGCCGCGUGAGUGAUGGAGAUCUUCGGAUCGUAAAACUCUGUUAUUAGGGAAGAACAUAUGUGUAAGUAACUGUGCACAGCUUGACGGUACCUAAUCAGAAAGCCACGGCUAACUACGUG